rnacentral:rRNA from 1 species
CCUACGGGAGGCAGCAGUGAGGAAUAUUGGUCAAUGGACGAGAGUCUGAACCAGCCAAGUAGCGUGAAGGAUGACUGCCCUAUGGGUUGUAAACUUCUUUUAUAUGGGAAUAAAAUGUUCCACGUGUGGGAUUUUGUAUGUACCAUAUGAAUAAGGAUCGGCUAACUCCGUGCCAGCAGCCGCGGUAAUACGGAGGAUCCGAGCGUUAUCCGGAUUUAUUGGGUUUAAAGGGAGCGUAGGUGGAUUGUUAAGUCAGUUGUGAAAGUUUGCGGCUCAACCGUAAAAUUGCUGUUGAAACUGGCAGUCUUGAGUACAGUAGAGGUGGGCGGAAUUCGUGGUGUAGCGGUGAAAUGCUUAGAUAUCACGAAGAACUCCGAUUGCGAAGGCAGUUCACUGGACUGCAACUGACACUGAUGCUCGAAAGUGUGGGUAUCAAACAGGAUUAGAUACCCCUGUAGUC